UGGAUGUGUGGGCCAGGGGGCUGGGGAAGACCGAGGGGGCAAGCGUGGUUGGUAAGUACAGGGCGGAAAAGGCGCGUAGGCGGGCUGCUAAGUCGAACGUGAAAUCCCCGGGCUCAACCCGGGAACUGCGUCCGAGACUGGCAGGCUUGAAUCCGGGAGAGGGAUGCGGAAUUCCAGGUGUAGCGGUGAAAUGCGUAGAUAUCUGGAGGAACACCGGUGGCGAAGGCGGCAUCCUGGACCGGCAUUGACGCUGAGGCGCGAAAGCCAGGGGAGCAAACGGGAUUAGAUACCCCUGUAGUC
rnacentral:rRNA from 1 species